CCAUCAGAAAACAGUGCAGCCAGGAAACAUGGCAAAGCAAGUAGACUUACAGAAAGUUGAGUUAAAGGUUUCUGUCAACUGCUGUGAUGGUUGCAAGAAGAAAGUUAAAAAGGUGUUACAAAGCAUUGAGGGUGUUUUGAAGACAGAAAUCGACCCUUUGCAGCCCAAAGUUACAGUCCUAGGGAAUGUGGAACCACAAAUUUUAAUCAAGAAGCUUCUGAAAAUUGGAAAACAACC